rnacentral:rRNA from 1 species
AGAGUUUGAUCCUGGCUCAGGAUGAACGCUGGCGGCGUGCUUAACACAUGCAAGUCGAACGGGAAAUAUUUCAUUGAGACUUCGGUGGAUUUGAUCUAUUUCUAGUGGCGGACGGGUGAGUAACGCGUGGGUAACCUGCCUUAUACAGGGGGAUAACAGUCAGAAAUGGCUGCUAAUACCGCAUAAGCGCACAGAGCUGCAUGGCUCAGUGUGAAAAACUCCGGUGGUAUAAGAUGGACCCGCGUUGGAUUAGCUGGUUGGUGGGGUAACGGCCCACCAAGGCGACGAUCCAUAGCCGGCCUGAGAGGGUGAACGGCCACAUUGGGACUGAGACACGGCCCAGACUCCUACGGGAGGCAGCAGUGGGGAAUAUUGCACAAUGGGGGAAACCCUGAUGCAGCGACGCCGCGUGAAGGAAGAAGUAUCUCGGUAUGUAAACUUCUAUCAGCAGGGAAGAUAGUGACGGUACCUGACUAAGAAGCCCCGGCUAACUACGUGCCAGCCGCCGCGGUAAUAC